rnacentral:rRNA from 1 species
AGCGAACGCUGGCGGCAGGCUUAACACAUGCAAGUCGAGCGGGCCUUUCGGGGUCAGCGGCGGACGGGUGAGUAACGCGUGGGAACGUGCCCUCUGGUUCGGAAUAACUCAGGGAAACUUGAGCUAAUACCGGAUACGCCCUUCUGGGGAAAGGCUUGCUGCCGGAGGAUCGGCCCGCGUCUGAUUAGCUAGUUGGUGAGGUAACGGCUCACCAAGGCGACGAUCAGUAGCUGGUCUGAGAGGAUGAUCAGCCACACUGGGACUGAGACACGGCCCAGACUCCUACGGGAAGCAGCAGUGGGGAAUAUUGGACAAUGGGCGCAAGCCUGAUCCAGCCAUGCCGCGUGAGUGAUGAAGGCCUUAGGGUUGUAAAGCUCUUUUAUCCGGGACGAUAAUGACGGUACCGGAGGAAUAAGCCCCGGCUAACUUCGUG